rnacentral:lncRNA from 1 species
AAAGAAAAAUGUUAUCUUGAAAUUAUUGUCACUUAAAUUGAAAGAAAACAUUUCUUGGCUUUGACAUAUCUGGUUCUAUCUAUUUAAGCACAUUUUUUUGCAUAUAUAAUGCCUAACCGGUUUUGACUACAUUGGAUGGAUACUAAGGAUGCAAGAAUAUUAUUGGGCACAUCAUGUCAUUGUAAUAUAUCUCGUCUGAAUGAAUUAGUUGGUACGAGAAAUGUUAGAAAUAGUAAACAAAAAAAGUAAUAAGAGGUGAAAAGGAUAGAGAGACUUCCCA